rnacentral:rRNA from 1 species
GCAAAGCACUCCUACGGGAGGCAGCAGUGGGGAAUAUUGCACAAUGGGCGCAAGCCUGAUGCAGCCAUGCCGCGUGUAUGAAGAAGGCCUUCGGGUUGUAAAGUACUUUCAGCAGUGAGGAAGGUGGAUAUGUUAAUAGCAUAUUCAUUUGACGUUUAGCUGCAGAAGAAGCACCGGCUAACUCCGUGCCAGCAGCCGCGGUAAUACGGAGGGUGCGAGCGUUAAUCGGAAUUACUGGGCGUAAAGCGCAUGCAGGUGGUUUGUUAAGUCAGAUGUGAAAGCCCGGGGCUCAACCUCGGAAUUGCAUUUGAAACUGGCAAACUAGAGUACUGUAGAGGGGGUAGAAUUUCAGGUGUAGCGGUGAAAUGCGUAGAGAUCUGAAGGAAUACCGGUGGCGAAGGCGGCCCCCUGGACAGAUACUGACACUCAGAUGCGAAAGCGUGGGGAGCAAACAGGAUUAGAUACCCUGGUAG